rnacentral:rRNA from 1 species
GAUGAACGCUGGCGGCGUGCCUAAUACAUGCAAGUCGAGCGAACAGACGAGGAGCUUGCUCCUCUGACGUUAGCGGCGGACGGGUGAGUAACACGUGGAUAACCUACCUAUAAGACUGGGAUAACUUCGGGAAACCGGAGCUAAUACCGGAUAAUAUAUUGAACCGCAUGGUUCAAUAGUGAAAGACGGUUUUGCUGUCACUUAUAGAUGGAUCCGCGCCGCAUUAGCUAGUUGGUAAGGUAACGGCUUACCAAGGCGACGAUGCGUAGCCGACCUGAGAGGGUGAUCGGCCACACUGGAACUGGGACACGGUCCAGACUCCUACGGGAGGCAGCAGUAUGGAAUCGUCCGCAAUGGGCGAAAGCCUGACGGAGCAACGCCGCGUGAGUGAUGAAGGUCUUCGGAUCGUAAAACUCUGUUAUUAGGGAAGAACAAAUGUGUAAGUAACUAUGCACGUCUUGACGGUACCUAGUCAGAAAGCCACGGCUAACUACGUG